rnacentral:rRNA from 1 species
ACGUAGGGGGCCAGCGUUGCUCGGAAUUACUGGGCGUAAAGGGUUCGUAGGCGGUGUGGCAAGUCGGAAGUGAAAUCUCCAGGCUUAACUUGGAGGCUGCUCCCGAAACUGCCAUGCUAGAGUGCGGGAGAGGCGAGUGGAAUUGCAGGUGUAGCGGUGAAAUGCGUAGAUAUCUGCAGGAACACCCGUGGCGAAGGCGGCUCGCUGGACCGCAACUGACGCUGAGGAACGAAAGCUAGGGGAGCAAACAGGAUUAGAUACCCUGGUAGUCCUAGCCCUAAACGAUCAGGACUUGGGGUGCAUCCCGUUGGGGGUGCGUCCCGUAGCUAACGCGUUAAGUCCUGCGCCUGGGGAGUACGGUCGCAAGGCUG